GCUCCCCUCCCUACACAUGAGAAGGCUCUGAUGGUGACACCAGAGGAGGAGGAAGACCAUGGCCCUAGGAGGGAAGGUUGUAUCGAGGAAGUGAACUGACAUCUCCGAUGGUGGUGCCACAGAGGGCUUUGGUUUCCUCAAUCGCAGCGCACAAUUCAGGGAGAGAGAACUCCUGGGAAGAGACAGCAUCCACCUCACAUGGAGAGAAAUGCUGAGUCAAUUCCAAGCUGAUGCAUCUUCUUCAGCUGACCCCAAAGAAGCAAACAGCAGACAGGGUCUCAUGCUGGGGAAUUUCUGCCAGAAAUAUUAAGGCACGACAAGACAUCUGAAGGGUGCAGUGGAUGUCAGCUUGGAAUUUCCUACUGUUUGUCGCUUAGCCCAAGUCGAUGAAUGUAAUAUCCACAGGGAUCUCUUUGCAUCUAUCAAGAAACCAAUACAAACUUCUUAUUUCCUCCCCAAAGAGAAACAUCCUUCCAGGCAAACAUCCUUCUUUAGUUGUGAAGAGUGACUCAAGGCACCUGGCUCAAGAUGAUAAACGGAAAGGCUAUGCAAAGCUUCCUGCACAUGCUGACCCAGAGAGACAAAUACUAGGCUUGAAAACACAGGAAUGGUUGGUGAUACCCUUUCUGUAUACCACAAAUGUGCCCUGCAAGGAUUAUUUCCGAGACAACAAAGGGAUCUCUUCAUUUGAUGGAGGUCAACAAUUUCCAGCCGAGCAGAAACAGGAGAAGCAGUAUACACACAGAGUGAGCAUUAUAUGCAGAUGCAAGACUGAGACCAUUCUGCUGAAUAUGGGGGAGAUGGGAAAGAGCAGGCCCAAUCCUGCAAGGCAGCAAAUGUCUCCAGUAAGGUGUUUACCCCCUUCAGUGCCCCUUGGGGCCAAAGAAGCACAAGGAUGCUCAGCUCCAUUAUGAGUUCACCAGAAAGAUUCGUGCUUCGGAAAACAUCACUGAAACAUGAGACCAAACCUCUGCACUGAUAAGGGGGAAUAAA